rnacentral:tRNA from 1 species
ACCCGUCUAGCUCAGUCGGUAGAGCGCUGGCCUUUUAAGCCAGUGGUCGUGGGUUUCGAUCUUCACGGGGGGUG